GAAUUACCGGUUGGAUUUACUUAAAUUAAAUUAAUGAACAUGGAAUGAACUUCGAGCAUAAAGCAAACUAAGGUUGCUUACAAUGCCACUGGAUAAUAACAAACCAGUCUCUAAGACCAAGGGGUCGAGGAGAAGAAAUCAGGCAAAUGAGGAAGUAUCGUCUCCUCCAAUGCUGAGGUUUGAUUCUGACGUAGAUAUCAUGCCUCCACAUUUAAGGAAAAGACUACAUGAUCUGUUUGGACAGAUUGAAAAGGAAUUUGAAAAUCUCUAUGCUGAAAACCUUGCAUUACAAGAGAGACUUGAUGCCCAGACUGAGAGAGUAGAAGCCACAAACAGGGAGCCCAAUUCUAUGGACAAUACCGACACGUCUGAUGUCAAUCUCAAACCCAAGCGAUCGGGACAUGAUAUCAUCAGACAAGCUUCUGCAGCUAGUCAGAUUUCCCAGAAAAUCAAGACUACAUACAAGGCAUCUACGAGCAAGUUUGUCUCUAGUUUUCGGAACUCAUCACUCUUGUUUUCGGUGGUCAGGAAAUUUGAGGGUCACAGAGAUGGGAUCUGGGAGGUGAUGGUGUCACGGGCCAGCCACCCAGGACAACAGGUGCUUGGAACUGCCUCAGCCGACCACUCGGCUAGAAUAUGGUCUAUACAGACCCAGCAAUGUGCACUGCAGUAUUUGGGUCAUCAAGGGUCAGUGAACUCUAUAAGGUUCCACCCCGAGAGAGAACUGGCCUUGACCUCAUCAGGGGACCGCACAGCUCACAUCUGGGGGGCACAUGUCACCCUCCCUGAGUCAAGCAAGAGGUUUGGGCGUGCAGUGUCUGUUGAUGAUGAUGUUGACAACUCUGAAAAAGAGGAGCAACAAGAAGCUGAGAGUGUGGAGCAGGCUUGGGAAGCCGCCACACUGAGGACACCUUCUAUGGAGCUGACCGGACACACAGGGGUGGUGACUGGCAGUUUCAUCCAGUCAGAGUUUGAUAGCAAUACCCCACGACAACAGACACAUUCGGAUCUAUGACAUUAAUGGGAAUCGUAUCGGCCGACUUCCCAGGAGUAAUAGACAGGGUCACAGUAAGAUGGUGACUUCGGUGGCGUGGACAGAGGACCACCCCGUGUGUAAUCUCUUCUCCUGCGGCUUUGAUAGAAAGGUGCUGGGCUGGAAUAUCAACCUGAGGGAGAAGGACUGAGUACACAUGUACCGAGACACAAACUUCCUCGUUGGUUGUCUCUGACUUUUUUGUGUGGUUACAAAGAAGAAAUAUUUACUAGAUUUGUGCUUAAAAAGUGUCAUCUACAAUAUUUAUUGGUUGUUGUAUGAUUAAUAUAAUUCUGUGCAAUAUUAGUAUUUAAGACAUAAUGAAAUGAAAUAGUCAAUAUG
rnacentral:misc_RNA from 1 species